ACUCAAAUGAAUAGACGGGGACUCGCACAAGUAGUGGAUCAUGUGGCUUAAUUCGUCGGUAAGCGAAGAACCUUACCAGGGCUAGAAAUCCAACUGCACGCCUCCAGAAACGGAGGAAGCCUUCGAGGGUGUUGGACAGGUGAUGCAUGGUUGUCGUCAGUUCGUGGCUUGAGCUGUUCCCUUAAGUGGGGUAACGAACGCAACCCUCGUUGUCUGUUAUAUAUGUCAGGCGAGACUGCCCCCUCACGGGGGAGGAAGGUGAGGAUGACGCCAAAUCAGCAUGUCCCUUGAUGCCCUGGGCCGCACACGUGAUACAAUGGUUCGUACAGAAGGACGCAAUACCGCAAGGUGGAGCAAAUCCCUAAAACGAACCCCAGUACGGAUAGGGGUCUGCAACCGACCCCUUGAAGCCGGAAUUACUAGUAAUCGUGGGUCAGCCAUACCACGGUGAAUACGUUCUCGAGUCUUGCACACACCGCCCGU
rnacentral:rRNA from 1 species